AUGAUAAUGACAGUACCUGGUAAAGAAACCCCGGCUAACUCCGUGCCAGCAGCCGCGGUAAUACGGAGGGGGUUAGCGUUGUUCGGAAUUACUGGGCGUAAAGCGCACGUAGGCGGAUCAGAAAGUUGGGGGUGAAAUCCCAGGGCUCAACCCUGGAACUGCCUCCAAAACUCCUGGUCUUGAGUUCGAGAGAGGUGAGUGGAAUUCCGAGUGUAGAGGUGAAAUUCGUAGAUAUUCGGAGGAACACCAGUGGCGAAGGCGGCUCACUGGCUCGAUACUGACGCUGAGGUGCGAAAGUGUGGGGAGCAAACAGGAUUAGAUACCCUGGUAGUCCACACCGUAAACGAUGAAUGCCAGUCGUCGGGUAGCAUGCUAUUCGGGGACACACCUAACGGAUUAAGCAUUCCGCCUGGGAAGUCCGGUCGCAAGAUUAGAACUCGAAGGAAUUGACGGA
rnacentral:rRNA from 1 species